AUGUUUGAUCAUGGCUCAGGACGAACGCUGGCGGCGUGCUUAACACAUGCAAGUCGAGCGGAAAGGCCCCUUCGGGGGUACUCGAGCGGCGAACGGGUGAGUAACACGUGGGUAAUCUGCCCUUAACUCUGGGAUAAGCCUGGGAAACUGGGUCUAAUACCGGAUAUGACUUUCCACCGCAUGGUGGGGGGUGUAAAGAUUUUUUGGUUUUGGAUGGACUCGCGGCCUAUCAGCUUGUUGGUGGGGUAAUGGCCUACCAAGGCUUCGACGGGUAGCCGGCCUGAGAGGGCGACCGGCCACACUGGGACUGAGACACGGCCCAGACUCCUACGGGAGGCAGCAGUGGGGAAUAUUGCACAAUGGGCGAAAGCCUGAUGCAGCGACGCCGCGUGAGGGAUGACGGCCUUCGGGUUGUAAACCUCUUUCAGCAGGGACGAAGCGAAAGUGACUGUACCUGCAGAAGAAGCACCGGCUAACUACGUGCCAGCAGCCGCGGUAAUUCCCCUGUGUGA
rnacentral:rRNA from 1 species